rnacentral:rRNA from 1 species
ACGAACGCUGGCGGCUUGCUUAACACAUGCAAGUCGAACGGAAAGGCCCUGCUUGCAGGGUACUCGAGUGGCGAACGGGUGAGUAACACGUGGGUGAUCUGCCCUGCACUUCGGGAUAAGCCUGGGAAACUGGGUCUAAUACCGGAUAGGAGCCAUUUUUAGUGUGAUGGUUGGAAAGUUUUUUCGGUGUAGGAUGAGCUCGCGGCCUAUCAGCUUGUUGGUGGGGUAAUGGCCUACCAAGGCGGCGACGGGUAGCCGGCCUGAGAGGGUGGACGGCCACAUUGGGACUGAGAUACGGCCCAGACUCCUACGGGAGGCAGCAGUGGGGAAUAUUGCACAAUGGGCGCAAGCCUGAUGCAGCGACGCCGCGUGGGGGAUGACGGCCUUCGGGUUGUAAACUCCUUUCGCUAGGGACGAAGCUUUUUGUGACGGUACCUAGAGAAGAAGCACCGGCUAACUACGUG